UACCCCAAAGGCAGGAGUUACGGCUGC
rnacentral:piRNA from 1 species